UACGAAGGGGGCUAGCGUUGCUCGGAAUCACUGGGCGUAAAGCGCACGUAGGCGGAUCUUUAAGUCAGGGGUGAAAUCCCAAGGCUCAACCUUGGAACUGCCUUUGAUACUGGGGAUCUCGAGUCCGGAAGAGGUGAGUGGAACUGCGAGUGUAGAGGUGAAAUUCGUAGAGAUCGGGAGGAACACCUGUGGCGAAGGCGGCUCGCUGGGCCGAUCCUGACGCUGAGACGCGAAGGCGUGGGGAGCGAACGGG
rnacentral:rRNA from 1 species